GUAGCUAUGUCAGAAUUAAUAUGAGUUAGCUUUAAGCGCUAAUUAUGGGUUGUUACCCUAGCUACU
rnacentral:tRNA from 1 species